rnacentral:rRNA from 1 species
AUAAGACAUGCAAGUCGAACGAACUUAAUCGAAAGUUACUUUGAAGCGGUAGUGGCGGACUGGUGAGUAACACGUAAGCAACCUGCCUAUCGAGAGGGGGAAGUAACAGUGAGAAAUCAUUGCUAAUACCGCAUAUGCUCACAGUAUCACAUGAUACAGUGAGGAAAGGAGCAAUCCGCUGAUGGAUGGGCUUGCGUCUGAUUAGAUAGUUGGUGGGGUAACGGCCUACCAAGUCGACGAUCAGUAGCCGGACUGAGAGGUUGAACGGCCACAUUGGGACUGAGAUACGGCCCAGACUCCUACGGGAGGCAGCAGUCGGGAAUAUUGGCGCAAUGGAGGAAACUCUGACGCAAGUGACGCCGCGUGCAGGAAGAAGGUUUUCGGAUUGUAAACUGCUUUAGUUAAGGAAGAUACAAGACAGUACUUAAAGAAUAAGCACCGGCUAACUAUGUGCCAGCAGCUGC